GGGGGGGCCCCGCGCCCGUCCCGCCGCCCCCGCCCGCCUACGGGAGGCAGCAGUGGGGAAUUUUGGACAAUGGGGGAAACCCUGAUCCAGCAAUGCCGCGUGAGUGAAGAAGGCCUUCGGGUUGUAAAGCUCUUUCAGUUGAGAAGAAAAGGUUGUGACUAAUAAUCAUAAUUUAUGACGGUAUCAACAGAAGAAGCACCGGCUACACUG
rnacentral:rRNA from 1 species